AUGGGGCCAACUCAGGGAAAGGGGGCCUACACCCGGAGAGGGGUGCCGACCCCCACCCACGUCCAAAAGGGGGUGCCACUACAUCCAGCAGGCUCCCUGCACCAGGGAGAUGGGGGAGAUGGCCAAAGAGGGCUGGGGCCGCCCCAGGGAGGGUGGGGGUGUCUCCCGGAGAGGGGGGCCAACCUCCUGCCCUCAACACCCAGGCGGCUCCACUACAUCCACCCUGCUCUCUUCACCAGGAAGAGAGGGGGUAGACAGAGAGGGAUGGGACAAACCCAGGGAGGCGGGGCCGACCGCCGGAGAGAGGGCCCGUCCCCUGCCCGUGGCCACCAGGGGGUACUACUAAACUCACCCAGAGAGGACUGGGACCAACCCAGGGAGGCGGAGCCAAUCCCAGCAAUCGUCUUCAACGUGGAGACAGCGACGUACAACAACCUGAAGUUCCAAUUGUGGGAUUUUGAUGUACAGUUGAGUAUCAGGUAAUUAUAUGAUUACCACAACAGGCCUUUCACGGGUAUGCAUAAACACAGACAUUGUUGAGUAUAAAAGGAAGACAGAAGCUUCUUCAAGGCAUCACAACUUGCCAUACAUUACUUUGCCACAGAUCUUUGUAUAAAGUGUUUGGCCUAGUUGCCUAUGCUCGCCACAGUCUUUCCCCUAACCCUUGUUUCUCUUUCCCCUAUCCUCAUUUUUCUCCCCCAAAUCCUGAACUACUGAGCUAUUUGAUCAGUUCAGUUAUUGCCUUAAUUCAACACACCUGGUCUACCAGGUUGGUUAACUUCUAUGGGCUAGGUGGGACGUGACCGUCCCACCUGCGGGACACAUUAUUCAACAGCCAUUGAAAUAGCAUGGCGCAAAAUAAAAAACAGCAAAAAUCUCAUAAUUUCAUUUUCUCAAACAAUCAAGUAUUUUACACCAUUUUAAAGAUAAACUUCUCGUUAAUCUAACCACAUUGUCCGAUUUCAAAAAGGCUUUACGGCGAAAGCAUAAAAUUAGAUUAUGUUAGGACAUAAACUUCACAAGAAAAACCACACAGCCAUUUUCCAAGCAAGGACAUGCAUCACAAAAACCAAAAAUACAGCUAGAAUAUUCACUAACCUUUGAUGAUCUUCAUCAGAUGGCACUCAUAGGACUUCAUGUUACACAAUACAUGCAUGUUUUGCUCGAUAAAGUUCAUAUUUAUAUCCAAAAACCCCAUUUUACAUUGGCGCGUGAUGUUCAGAAAAUGUAUUCCCACCAAAACUCCGGUGAAUGUGCACAUCAAUUUACAAAAAUACUCAUAAACGUUGAUAAAAUUUGCAACAGUUAUUGAAAGAAUUAUAGAUAUAAUUCUCCUUAAUGCAACCGCUGUGUCAGAUUUUAAAAUAGCUCAACCAUCAAAGCAAGCUAUACAGAUACCCGCCAAGUUCUGGGAUCAACUAAACUCAGAAUUAGUAUUAUAAAUAUUCUCUUACCUUUGCUGAUCUUCAUCAGAAUGCACUACCAGGAAUCCUACUUCGACAAGAAAUGUUAUUUUUGUUCGAAAUACUCCAUAUUUAUGUCCAAAUACCUCCGUUUUGUUUGUGCGUUCAGAUCAGUAUCCAAAGGCAGUACCAGAGACAAAGUCAAAUAGUUCCAUUACCGUUCGUAGAAACAUGUCAAACGUUGUUUACAAUCAAUCCUUAGGGUCUUUUUAAUAUAAAACGUUGAUAAUAUUCCAACCCGGACAAUAGCGUAUUCAUUCAAGAAGAAAAAGAAGGAGGGGCGUGCUGGCGGGCUCGCGCAUAACCAAGUCCUUUGUCCUCAGGCAGUCAACUCAUUGACUGAGCUCCUAUUUUCUGCCCAGUAACAGGAGAAAGAUGAAACACGUUUCUAAAGGCUGUUGACAGCCAAUGGAAGCCUUAGGAAGUGCAACGUGACCCCACAGACACUGUAGUUUUGAUAGGGAUUCAAAAGAAGAACUACAAUUCUCAGAUUUCCCACUUCCUGGUUGGAUUUCUCAGGUUUUUGCCUGCCAUUUGAGUUUUGUUAUACUCACAGACAUCAUUCAAACAGUUUUUGAAACUGCAGAGUGUUUUCUAUUCAAAUCUACUAAUAAUAUGCACAUUUUUGACUCUGGGCCUGAGUAUUAGGCAGUUUACUCUGGGCACGCUUUUCAUCCGAAAAUGAAAAUAAUGCCCCCUAUACCUUAAAGUUAAUCAAAAACAUGAAGUGCCUGCAGCACUCAGGAACAGGUUUGCCGACCUCUGACAUAUUGUAUCAGAGGGAACACACACACACUGCUUUCAUUGUGAGAUUUCUGCAAUAGAAAUAAUACUCCUAUCAUUACAUCUAACUCAUAACACACUAGUUACUAUUCUUAAUGCAUUUUCUACAUUUAUAAACAUACUUUCACCUUCUCAAAUCAAUUAGUCAAUAUACAUCUGUCCCUCCUCUGGAACAAUGAUCACUCUUAUGUUCCAUACUGACUUGAACAUACUGACUUGAAAAGGAAAGAGAAAAAAAGUACAUGUUUAAUAACUUAGCCCCACUCAUUAAUGUGACUAACAUUAUUAUUCUAAUUACAUGGUGAAACAAAAGAGACAAAAAAAACGUUUGUGGUUAUCCCAAGCUAUCAUGCUUUGAUUUCCCUAACAAACCACCUCCCUUUAGGAGGUUUCUGCUGACUCUCUCGGCCAAAUACAUUUUAGCAGCGUCCCCACCCCUCACCGUUCGGUAGCAACUCUCUCUCGCUGUAUCCAAAUCACAACUGAAGCAUUUUAUAAAAUUAUCCAACCCAAAUUUAGAAUGACAGCCGUUAGUGCUUACUUUGAGUCUAGGACUCAAAUUCCAGCUUCUCAAUUUAGCACACAUCAUCCCUGUUAGAACAUUCAUUUAUAAACAACCUUUUAUUGCCGGUAAUAACUCUUCUCAUUACAGCCCCCCUUUGUCCCUGUUGUCCUGUCACGAGGGGCCUGGUAAUGAAAGAUCAGUAUCUCAAUGCAUCCUUAGUCUAAAUUGUUCACAAUGUGUAGACCAACCACCCCCCCCCCCCCCUCCCCGGCACUUAUCAUUCUAGCGUGUCUUUUUCAGAUAUCGUUUACAGUUCAUCUUCCCAACGGCACAUGUAUCUUUUGCUUGUCACAAAUCAUGGUACUUGAUAAUGUCCUGAUUUUAAUAUCCAAGUAGAUACAUCCGUUUCUCUCAUGUACACGAGUCUCUCACCUGAGCCGUUCUCUCACGCCAUGCUCAUUCCACACACGCUCAAAGCACUAUGUCCCCGUUUAUGGCUCGGACUCAGAUUGAAGUGUUAAAAGUCACUGUCGCAUUGCACACCUUUGUCUUCUUCCUUCAGCUGGUUAGGGAGGGUUUUGAGGCUCACACACACUGUUUGUGGUCAAAUUAUUCCUACCAUGCAUUAAGACAUGAUCUGACGUCACCUUCCAUGACAACCUAAAACAACACAGAUCAUAACAUCAGUUUAGUUCAUUUCAUUUCUGUUUCAGGAAAUCCAGACAAGCAUUGACUAUAUGACAAAUUAUUACAUUAACCUUUUCUUAAUAACAUUAUCUCUACGACAAAUGUCAAAAAGCAUAACAUACUGUUACUGCUAAAACCAUUUUGAAAAUUAGUCCACACUCCCCUAUUCUACUGUCGACCUCUAGGAAGAGUUACCAGAUCAUGAAGUUAGCACCCUAAC
rnacentral:lncRNA from 8 species